rnacentral:lncRNA from 1 species
AAAAGUCUCAAAACUUAAGUUCACAUUUUAAUGUUUGAUGAAGCAGAACUUUAAAAGUGUGCAGUGAAUCUUGUGCUCACAACAGUUAUUGUCAUAAUUAUGUUUACAUAAGACUUAUAAAGGAAUUAAGAAGGUACCAAGAAAUAUUUUACAGUUCAAUUCAAUGAUCAUGAAUGGAAGGAAAUGGUACGGAAGUUUACA